UACGGAGGAUGCGAGCGUUAUCCGGAUUUGUUGGGUUUAAAGGGUGCGCAGGCGGCACGGCAAGCCGGCGGUCAAAUCGCGGGGCUCAACCCCGCCCAGCCGUCGGAACUGCCGGGCUAGAGUGGGCGAGAAGUGCGCGGAAUGCGUGGUGUAGCGGUGAAAUGCAUAGAUAUCACGCAGAACUCCGAUUGCGAAGGCAGCGCACCGGCGCCCUACUGACGCUAAGGCACGAAAGCGUGGGGAGCAAACAGG
rnacentral:rRNA from 1 species